UACGUAGGGGGCAAGCGUUGUUCGGAAUUACUGGGCGUAAAGGGCUCGUAGGCGGCCAACUAAGUCGGAUGUGAAAUCCCCAGGCUCAACUUGGGAACUGCAUCCGAUACUGGAUGGCUUGAAUCCGGGAGAGGGAUGCAGAAUUCCAGGUGUAGCGGUGAAAUGCGUAGAUAUCGAGAGGAACACCUGCGGCGAAGGCGGGUUGCUGGGCUGACACUGACGCUGAUGCGCGAAAGCUAGGGGAGCGAACGGG
rnacentral:rRNA from 1 species